rnacentral:tRNA from 1 species
GGUUUUACAUAGAUAGCUCAGUUGGUAGAGCAUGAGACUCUUAAUCUCAGGGUCAUGGGUUCAUGCCCCAUGUUGGGCCA